UCCCUAGUGCGCGGCGAUGGGAGACGUG
rnacentral:sRNA from 1 species